GAUGAACGCUGGCGGCGUGCCUAACACAUGCAAGUCGAGCGUGAUUUAUGAGGACGAAACUUCGGUCUAGGAAUCAUAAUGAAAGCGGCGGACGGGUGAGUAACGCGUAGGCAACCUGCCCUUAACACAGGGAUAGCCUCGGGAAACCGGGAUUAAAACCUGAUGAUGCCAAAGAGUCACAUGGCUCGUUGGCCAAAGAUUUAUCGGUUAAGGAUGGGCCUGCGUCUGAUUAGUUUGUUGGUGGGGUAACGGCCUACCAAGACUACGAUCAGUAGCCGAACUGAGAGGGGGAUCGGCCAGAUUGGAACUGAGACAAGGUCCAAACUCCUACGGGAGGCAGCAGGUGGGAAUAUUGCACAAUGGGCGAAAGCCUGAUGCAGCAACGCCGCGUGAGCGAUGAAGGCCCUUGGGUCGUAAAGCUCUGUCCUUGGGGAAGAAACAAAUGACGGUACCCAAGGAGGAAGCCCCGGCUAACUACGUGCCAGCAGCCGCGGUAAAAC
rnacentral:rRNA from 1 species